rnacentral:rRNA from 1 species
UGCCAGCCGCCGCGGUAAUACGGAGGGUGCAAGCGUUAAUCGGAAUCACUGGGCGUAAAGCGCGCGUAGGCGGUUGUGUAAGUCGGAUGUGAAAGCCCAGGGCUUAACCUUGGAGUUGCAUUUCAAACUGGAUGGCUAGAGUACGGCAGAGGUAAGUGGAAUUUCCGGUGUAGCGGUGAAAUGCGUAGAUAUCGGAAAGAACAUCAGUGGCGAAGGCGACUUACUGGGCUGAUACUGACACUGAGGCGCGAAAGCGUGGGGAGCAAACAGGAUUAGAUA